rnacentral:rRNA from 1 species
GAAUCACUGGGCGUAAAGGACGCGUAGGCGGAUUAUCAAGUCUUUUGUGAAAUCUAACAGCUUAACUGUUAAACUGCUUGAGAAACUGAUAAUCUAGAGUGAGGGAGAGGCAGAUGGAAUUGGUGGUGUAGGGGUAAAAUCCGUAGAGAUCACCAGGAAUACCCAUUGCGAAGGCGAUCUGCUGGAACUCAACUGACGCUAAUGCGUGAAAGCGUGGGGAGCAAACAGGAUUAGAUACCCUGGUAGUCCACGCCCUAAACGAUGUAUACUAGUUGUUGCUGUGCUAGUCACGGCAGUAAUGCACCUAACGGAUUAAGUAUACCGCCUGGGGAGUACGGUCGCAAGAUUAAAACUCAAAGGAAUAGACGGGGACCCGCACAAGCGGUGGAGCAUGUGGUUUAAUUCGAAGAUACGCGAAGAACCUUACCUGGGCUUGAUAUCCAACUAAUCUCUUAGAGAU